rnacentral:lncRNA from 14 species
GUGUCAGGCGAGGGCAAAGUUUAUUGCUCGGCGGUGCCGUUUGUGCCCCGUGAGGUGGUGGUGCCCUGUUAUUUCUUAUUUAUUUCCCUCGUUAGGAGGUGCUCCCCCAUCUCGGCCUGUCAGCGACCGGGUCCGACGGCUGAGGAGCGCCCGCGCGGCAGCAGACUUCAGAGGAGAUCCCUUGCUUGGCUGCUGCUAAAACCUGCAACUCAACCAGAACAAGAUUGGUUCACAUCAGCUUGGGACCUGGGCUAGGCACGGACAAGGCUGGAGGCAGCUCUGAUGUGGUUCAGUUACCUUUCUGGAGAACGAUGGUGUCUGGGCUCAAGAUAUCAUUCAGUUUAGUCAUCUGGUAUGGAAGAGCAGAGCAUGCGGCUCAGGAAUACAAGCUCAUACUUGUUUCUAAAUCAUCUCUGGCUAAUACCUAGAUUCAAGAUCUGUGAUGAGUAUUUGUGCACUUACACAGACUUUUGCAAAAGAAGGGGAGCUGUUUAAUGAAAAAAGGGCUGUGGGCAUUAGUUGUUAGUUAAAUGUUUUCAGAUCGUGUACCUGUUUAUAAACAAAAAACAAGGUAUGGUCAAAGGUGUGAAAGACAGGACUGCAAAGUGCAGUACAUUAUAGAGCUUUUCAACUUCCAGUCACAAUGAAAAAAAUGGGGUUUACUUGGCAGUGUUACCUGCUUUCCAGAAUUUACUAUUAAUACUUGUUACCACUACAGGAGUAUUUCAAAUCCCUUCUUAAUUUUAGGGCACUGCUGUGGUAGGGUAUGCUUUGGAAAACAGACAGGAUUAAUAUAGAUAGUAAUUAGGAGAAAUAUAAUGCAGGGUAGGCUGGGAGCAAGAACAGUGCUUUGGGGAUGUGUCAUAGUUCAUGGUCCAGGAUGCACUAACAGCAGCAUGUGGGACUAGAACCCUGUCCCUGAGGGGUACAGUAUGAAAGUGAAAAGAGGAGAGGAGAACUGAAUUGUCAUUGCGCAUCAGGUCAAAUAAUGUAAUCCAUUAAUUCUCAAAGCAGGAUCCCUAUAAAAGCUGUUCACAUAGAUACUAAAAAAGCACAGUCACAAUUUGCUGUGACUUUACCACCUUUGAGUAGGAGCUGAUGGGAAGGUGGGGGACCUGUAUGUGGAGGUCAAACUGGAAAACUUGAUCAUAUGUUGUCAGUGGUU